AAUAAGGUGGCUGAGUGUAGGCGGAAAACUGUAAAUUUUCUAACGAAAAAUCUUCCCUUAUUA
rnacentral:tRNA from 1 species